AGUGGCGGACGGGUGAGUAACGCGUGAGAAUCUGCCCUUAGGAGGGGGACAACACUGGGAAACUGGUGCUAAUACCCCAUAUGCCGAGAGGUGAAAUAUGUUUUGCCUGAGGAUGAGCUCGCGUCAGAUUAGCUAGUUGGUGAGGUAAGAGCUCACCAAGGCGACGAUCUGUAGCUGGUUUGAGAGGAUGAUCAGCCACACUGGGACUGAGACACGGCCCAGACUCCUACGGGAGGCAGCAGUGGGGAAUUUUCCGCAAUGGGCGAAAGCCUGACGGAGCAAGACCGCGUGCGGGAUGACGGCCUGUGGGUUGUAAACCGCUUUUCUCUAGGAAGAAGAUCUGACGGUACUAGAGGAAUAAGCCUCGGCUAACUCCGUGCCAGCAGCCGCGGUAAUACGGAGGAUGCAAGCGUUAUCCGGAAUUAUUGGGCGUAAAGCGUCCGUAGGUGGCGAUUCAAGUCUGCUGUCAAAGCCCGGGGCUUAACCCUGGAGAGGCAGUGGAAACUGAGUAGCUAGAGUAUGGUAGGGGUAGAGGGAAUUCCCAGUGUAGCGGUGAAAUGCGUAGAUAUUGGGAAGAACACCGGUGGCGAAAGCGCUCUACUGGGCCAUAACUGACACUGAUGGACGAAAGCUAGGGGAGCGAAAGGGAUUAGAUACCCCUGUAGUCCUAGCCGUAAACGAUGGAUACUAGGUGUU
rnacentral:rRNA from 1 species